rnacentral:rRNA from 1 species
GACGAACGCUGGCGGCGUGCUUAACACAUGCAAGUCGAACGGAAAGGCCCUGCUUGCAGGGUACUCGAGUGGCGAACGGGUGAGUAACACGUGGGUGAUCUGCCCUGCACUUCGGGAUAAGCUUGGGAAACUGGGUCUAAUACCGGAUAGGAGCCAUCUUUAGUGUGGUGGUUGGAAAGUUUUUUCGGUGUAGGAUGAGCUCGCGGCCUAUCAGCUUGUUGGUGGGGUAAUGGCCUACCAAGGCGGCGACGGGUAGCCGGCCUGAGAGGGUGUACGGCCACAUUGGGACUGAGAUACGGCCCAGACUCCUACGGGAGGCAGCAGUGGGGAAUAUUGCACAAUGGGCGCAAGUCUGAUGCAGCGACGCCGCGUGGGGGAUGAAGGCCUUCGGGUUGUAAACUCCUUUCGCUAGGGACGAAGCUUUGUUGUGACGGUACCUAGAUAAGAAGCACCGGCUAACUACGUG